rnacentral:rRNA from 1 species
AACGAACGCUGGCGGCAGGCUUAACACAUGCAAGUCGAACGCAUCCUUCGGGGUGAGUGGCAGACGGGUGAGUAACGCGUGGGAACGUGCCCUUCAGUUCGGGAUAACCCAGGGAAACUUGGGCUAAUACCGGAUACGUGCGAGAGCAGAAAGAUUUAUCGCUGAAGGAUCGGCCCGCGUCUGAUUAGCUAGUUGGUGGGGUAAUGGCCCACCAAGGCGACGAUCAGUAGCUGGUCUGAGAGGAUGAUCAGCCACACUGGGACUGAGACACGGCCCAGACUCCUACGGGAGGCAGCAGUGGGGAAUAUUGGACAAUGGGCGCAAGCCUGAUCCAGCCAUGCCGCGUGAGUGAUGAAGGCCUUAGGGUUGUAAAGCUCUUUCAGUGGGGACGAUAAUGACGGUACCCGCAGAAGAAGCCCCGGCUAACUUCGUGCCAGCCGCCGCCGUAA